UAAAAAGUGCUAUUGAGGGCAAGUGGAC
rnacentral:piRNA from 1 species